rnacentral:rRNA from 1 species
UCCCGCAACGAGCGCAACCCUUAUCCCUAGUUGCCAUCAGGUAAAGCUGGGAACUCUGGGGGAGACUGCCGGUGAUAAACCGGAGGAAGCGGGGAUGACGUCAAGUCCUCAUGGCCCUUACAUCCCGGGCUACACACGUGCUACAAUGGCAGGUACAGAGGGCUGCGAAGCCGCGAGGUGGAGCGAAUCCCAGAAAACCUGUCUCAGUCCGGAUUGAAGUCUGCAACUCGACUUCAUGAAGGCGGAAUCGCUAGUAACCGCGAAUCAGCAGGUCGCGGUGAAUACGUUCCCGGGCCUU